rnacentral:lncRNA from 12 species
UAACUUUUUUUCAAUUAUUUAUGGUGUUUUUUCUGUAUAUUCUUCUUUAUAAUUUGAGAGUACUUUUAAAUAUCAGAGAAAUCUCAACUAAAAUCCCAAUUCAGAAAAAUGUACCUAGAUUUAUUUUUCCUUCUGGCCCUUACUAUCCAUAGGGUACAGUUUCAGAUAUAGAAGUAAUGUGCUGGUUAUUGUGUAAAGCUCUGCUCCAGUUUUCUUUUCUUUUGUGGUUUAUUCAUAACAAGUCACAUUGGGUAUAGACCUUCUGCCUAGUCAUCUGAUUCAAGUUUUUGUACAACAACAUUAUGCAAGCUAUUUUGUCCCAUCAACACAAUCUUCACUUGCAUAUCACGUCCAGGAUUACUUUCUUCUAACCACCAGGAUCACACCAUCAAGGCUAAUUUCUCCCCUAAAACUGUGCAUUUACAGAGAGAACCUGCACUAAUGCUUUUUGAAGAUAAUGGAUACAUAGGUCAUAGCAAUCAGCAGAGAAAUUAAAUAUUCCUGUGGUUACACAGUAAAUGUAUGUUGGAGCCCAUCCCAGAGAAAUGCAAAUCAGCUUCAUUCAAAUUUCUUCUAAACAGAAAUGGAAAAGAAGAUGCUACUAGGAUAACCUUGAAGCCAUGUGCUAACAAUGGCAGACUAAACUACAGAAGGUGAAGUGACUAACAAGUGUUCAGUCUGCAGGAACCUUGAAAUUUCUGUUUUUUUUUCAGGUAAAGUAGCUUUCAUUAAAUACCCUUAUAUAAGAAUCCUAAUUAGAUCAUGUGCAG